CAUGCGGUGGGGAGCAAACAAGGAUAGAUACCUGUAGUACACGCGUAAACGAUGAAUACUAGUGUGGGGAGCAAAGCUCUCGGUGCCGCGCUAACGGCAUAAGGUAUUCCACCUGGGGGAGUACGUUCGCAAGAAUAAAACUCAAAGGAAUUGACGGGGACCCGCACAAGCGGUGGAGCAUGUGGUUUAAUUCGAAGCAACGCGAAGAACCUUACCAGGUCUUGACAUCGAUCUGAAUGUGAUGCAAAAGUCGCAGCCCUUCGGGGCAGAGAAGACAGGUGGUGCAUGGUUGUCGUCAGCUCGUGUCGUGAGAUGUUGGGUUAAGUCCCGCAACGAGCGCAACCCUUGUCCUAAGUAGCCAGCGGUUCGGCCGGGCACUCUUGGGAGACCGCCGGGGAUAACCCGGAGGAAGGUGGGGAUGACGUCAAAUCAUCAUGCCCCUUAUGAUCUGGGCUACACACGUGCUACAAUGGCGUAAACAAAGGGAGGCGAAGGAGCGAUCCGGAGCAAAUCCCAAAAAUAACGUCUCAGUUCGGACUGCAGGCUGCAACUCGCCUGCACGAAGCUGGAAUCGCUAGUAAUCGCGGAUCAGCAUGCCGCGGUGAAUACGUUCCCGGGUCUUGUACACACCGCCCGUCACACCAUGGGAGUCGGUAAUGCCCGAAGCCAGUGGCUCAACCUUUUGGAGGGAGCUGUCGAAGGCAGGACUGAUAACUGGGGUGAAGUCGUAACAAGGUAGCCGUA
rnacentral:rRNA from 1 species